rnacentral:rRNA from 1 species
UACCAGCUCUCCGAGUGGUGUGGAUGUUUAUUGGGCCUAAAGCAUCCGUAGCUGGCUGGGCAAGUCCCCUGUUAAAUCCACUGAUUUAAUCAUUGGAGUGCGGGGGAUACUGCUCGGCUAGGGGACGGGAGAGGCAGACGGUAUUUUCGGGGUAGGGGUGAAAUCCUAUAAUCCCGGGAAGACCACCAGUGGCGAAGGCUGUCUGCUAGAACGCGCCCGACGGUGAGGGAUGAAAGCUGGGGGGAGCGAACCGGAUUAGAUACCCGGGUAGUCCCAGCUGUAAACGAUGCAGGCUAGGUGUUUGGGCGGCCACGUGCCGCUCUAGUGCCGCAGGGAAGCCGUUAAGCCUGCCGCCUGGGGAGUACGGCCGCAAGGCUAGAAACUUAAAGGAAUUGGGCGGGGGAGCACCACAAGGGGUGAAGCUUGCGGUUU